GACGAGGGGUCCUAGCGUUGUUCGGAAUCACUGGGCGUAGAGCGUAUGUAGGCGGCUUUCUAAGUCGGUCGUGAAAUCCCAUGGCUUAACCAUGGAAUUGCGUUCGAAACUGGAGAGCUUGAGUGUGGGAGAGAUUGGUAGAAUACCUGGUGUAGUGGUGAAAUACGUAGAUAUCAGGUGGAAUACCGGUGGCGAAGGCGGCCAAUUGGCCCAACACUGACGCUGAGAUACGAAAGCGUGGGGAUCAAACAGG
rnacentral:rRNA from 1 species